UAGGCCCUAGUAUAAAUAUUACAUGACCCUGUCAGCAUCAAAAUAUAGGAAUUAAACCUGUGAGCCUAA
rnacentral:tRNA from 1 species